rnacentral:rRNA from 1 species
CGUGUAGGCGGUCCGAUUAGUCUGAUGUGAAAGCCCUGGGCUCAACCCAGGAAGUGCAUUGGAUACUGUCAGACUUGAAUACGGGAGAGGGUAGUGGAAUUCCUAGUGUAGGAGUGAAAUCCGUAGAUAUUAGGAGGAACACCGGUGGCGAAGGCGGCUACCUGGACCGAUAUUGACGCUGAGACGCGAAAGCGUGGGUAGCAAACA